UUCCCUGUGACUCAGUAAGUAGAGCUUUGCACUUUCAAUGCAAAGAUUCUGGGUUCAACUCCCAGGAAAAGGAAG